rnacentral:rRNA from 1 species
UGAAUGGCGCUUAGCAGCGCAGGUCUUUCGGGACGAGAGGAGACAGGUGGUGCAUGGUUGUCGUCAGCUCGUGUCGUGAGAUGUUGGUUAAGUCCCGCAACGAGCGCAACCCUUGCCUUUAGUUGCCAGCACGUUAUGGUGGGCACUCUAGAGGGACUGCCGGUGACAAACCGGAGGAAGUGGGAUGACGUCAAAUCAUCAUGCCCCUUAUGAUCUGGGCUACACACGUGCUACAAUGGCCGGUACAACGAGAAGCGAAACCGCGAGGUGAAGCAAUCUUUUAAAGCCGGUCCCAGUUCGGAUUGCAGGCUGAAACUCGCCUGCAUGAAGUUGGAGUUGCUAGUAAUCGCGGAUCAGCAUGCCGUGGUGAAUGCGUUCCCGGGUCUU